rnacentral:rRNA from 1 species
AUGGCUGUUGUCCUGGACGCUUUGGUGCCGUAUGUGAAGAAGAUGAUUACCAGCAUGGCGGAAGAGGAGGUGCGCAUGCUGCUGGGCGUCUCUGGCGAGAUCAAGAGGCUGGAGGCCAACCUGGUGUACCUGCAGGGCUACCUGGCCGACGCAGAGAGGAGGCACAUCACCGACAAAAGCGUGAAGGAGUGGGUGGGGAGGCUCAAGGACGCCAUGUACGAGGCUACCGACAUCCUCGAGCUCUGUCAACUGGAGGCCAUGGAGCGACCGAAGGAGAGUGGGCGUAAUGCCUCCAGCUCCACCCGCUUCCGUUCUCUCGUAGGGCAGCUGAAGAAGAAGCUGCAGGGCUUCCUCGAGCCGCUUCUGUUCUGCCUGCAGAACCCGGCCUUCACCCAUGAGAUCGGCGGCCGGAUCAAGAGGCUGAACGGGGAGCUGGACGGCGUCCGCAAGGACGCCGCGGUGUUCAACUUCCAUGCCAACUUCGGUUCAUACGAGGAACGGAGGCAGCCGUCGGAUCCGGCGAGCCACAGCAGGAUCAGCAGGACAACGCCGGGGUUCGACGAGUCAUCCAUCGUGGGGGACAAGUUCGAGAUGGACACAAUGGAGUUGGUGCACAAGCUCACCAGCCACGGCCACGACAUGGCAUCCGCCAGGGUGAAGGUGGUGUCCAUCGUCGGCCCGGGCGGCAUGGGCAAGAGCACCCUCGCCAGGAAGGUCUUCGCGCAGGAGGCCAUCAAGGUGGAGUUCAAGACCAGGAUAUGGCUGGGCAUCACCCGGCGCUUCGACAAGGCGGAGCUGCUGAGAGCCGCCAUCACGCACGCCGGCGGCAAGCAUGGCGGCGAGAGGGACGAGUCCAUGCUCGAGACAGCCCUCACCGAUGCCCUGUUGGCCAACAGAUUCCUGCUGGUCUUGGAUGACGUGUGGAGCGACCGAGCAUGGAAGGAGGUGCUCCAGGUUCCUGUCGUCAACGCCGGUCGGAGGCACCCGGGGAGCCGCGUCCUUGUCACCACGAGGAACGAAGACGUCGCUCUCAGGAUGGGAGCCUCCGGCAGCGAUCAAAUCCAUGUCAGCAAACUGGACGACGAUGAUGCCUGGUCCUUGCUCAAAAAACAGCUGCCGCAAUUGCAGNNNNNCGAGAGUCACUUUGAUCAGCUAAAAGAUGUUGGGAUGAAGAUCAUUGAAAAAUGUGACGGUUUACCACUUGCCAUUAAAGUGAUGGGAGGACUCUUAAGCACAAGACACCCAAGCGAACGUGAAUGGGAGAUUGUUCUGAACAAGAAUCUCGAAUGGGAAGAGCAUGGGUCACAGGAGGAACUGAACUACUCGGUACAUCUGAGCUACGACGAUCUAUCUCCAGAGCUGAAGCAGUGCUUUCUAUAUUACUCACUCUUCCCCAAGGGUUCAGAAUUCCUAGAGGAUAUAGCCAUUAGCAUGUGGAUUAGUGAAGGGUUCGUUCAGGCCGACGAGAGGUCAGAGUCAGACCAACUAGACCUAGAGGAGAUAGGAGCUGAGUACCACCGGGAGUUAGUCGCCAGGAACCUUCUAGAGACCAACGAGUCAGCCGAGAGCAGAUGGGCCUACAUCAUGCACGAUGUUGUCCGUUCCUUUGCUCGGUUUGUGGCUAGGGAAGAAGCUCUUGUGGUUCUCAAGGAGCAGACUGACAUUAGAAGCCUUCUUUCACAUAACCAGAGAAUCCGCCGUCUGUCCAUGAAAUUAACCAAUUCAGUACUGGAGUGGGAUAUCCUAGAAAAGCUGGAAUCACUAAGGACACUGGUUAUAGCCUGCAACUUCAAGCCCGGCAGUGGUUCUGGUCCUUCACUUGCUUCUUCUUUUGCUAGCUUACGGGCACUGGAUAUCAGCUUUGCAGACUGCGACUGGUUGGUCGACCAUUUGUCUCAGCUGAGGCACCUACGGUAUUUGUCCUUCACUGACACGGAUGUAUCUAGGCUGCCCCAUGACAUCCACAAGAUGAAGUUCCUUGAGCACAUUGCACUGUUCAACUGCAGGAAGCUGGACAAGCUUCCUGACGGCAUCGUAAAGCUGGGGCGUCUAAGGUAUCUCUCCAUAGAUGGGUCCAGUGUUGAUGUUGUGCCGAAGGGGUUUGGCGCGCUGACGAAUCUGAGGUCAGUCUAUGGGUUUCCGGCACAGAUGGUUGGGGACUGGUGUACUUUAGAAGAACUGGAGCAUCUUUCUCAUCUUAGGACUCUUAGAAUACAUGGUCUGGAAAAUGUGCCUGGUGGUUCGGUUGUGGCAAGGGCCAUGAUCAGCAGCAAGAAGCAUCUCAGCUUUCUGGACUUGAUCUGCCACAAGAAUGAGGAGGAAGAUGGAGUGGGAGGAGAACAGAUUCCUGAAAAGGACCAGGAGCGAAUUGAGGCGGUGUUCGAUGAGCUCUGCCCACCGCCGUAUCUGGAGGAUCUGUUCAUGACAGGAUACUUCGGCUGUCGGGUGCCAUAUUGGAUGCGGGCGCCAACUGCAACGGCCUUCAAGAGCUUGACUGGCAUCACGCUAACGCGUCUGCGCUGUUGCACCCAGCUACCCAAUGGAUUGUGCGGUAUGCUCAGCCUGGAAGGUCUAGCGAUCGAGUGGGCUCCAGCCAUCAAGCUUGUCGGGCCCGACUUCCAAGCCCUUCCAAGUGGAGAUGGCGGCAGCAGCGGCGCCAUUGUUACAAGGCCAUUCCCUAAGCUGACGAACCUGGAGCUGCACAACAUGACGGGAUGGGAGGAGUGGGACUGGGCGGAGGAGGAGCAGGGCGGGGCCAUCUCCAUGCCUGCACUGGAGCAUCUCAGCAUCAUCCAUUGCAUGCUCAGCCGUCUCCCCCCGGGACUUGCUAGCAGCCGCAGGUAUAACCUGAGAACGCUCGACCUCCGCAAGCUCAGCGUCCUAGCGUCACUGGAGAAUUUCCCUUCAGUCAUGGAGCUCGACGUGCUCUACUGCCCCAAGCUCAAGAAGAUCAGCGGCUUUGCGAUGCUCCGAAGGAUGGCCGUCACUGAUUGCCCGGAGCUGGAGACGCUGGAAGGUGUCCCGGUGCUCAAGAGCUUGCUGCUGAAUGAUGAGCCAUGGGAGAUCAUUGGGACGUCUGCGUAUCAUCAAGCUGGACAGCCGCGUCACCUCCCACAAAACCUCGCUAUUAUCAGUAGCUCUGAUCUCAGAGAUGACUGA